rnacentral:rRNA from 1 species
GACGAACGCUGGCGGCGUGCUUAACACAUGCAAGUCGAACGGAAAGGCCUGCUUUCCCUUGUGGAUUGCGGGUACUCGAGUGGCGAACGGGUGAGUAACACGUGAGUGAUCUGCCCCCAACUUGGGUAUAAGCCUGGGAAACUGGGUCUAAUUCCCGAUAGGACUGCAGGGUGGUGCCUGUGGUGGAAAACGAUUUUCUAGUGGUUGGGGAUGAGCUCGCGGCCUAUCAGCUUGUUGGUGGGGUAAUGGCCUACCAAGGCGGCGACGGGUAGCCGGCCUGGGAGGGUGGACGGCCAAAUUGGGACUGAGAUACGGCCCAGACUCGUACGGGAGGCAGCAGUGGGGAAUAUGGGACAAUGGGCGGAAGCCUGAUGCAGCGACGCCGCGUGGGGGAUGACGGCCUUCGGGUUGUAAACUCCUUUCGACCGCGAGGAAGCCACCUGGUUGGAAGGGUGGUGACGGUAGUGGUAGAAGAAGCACCGGCUAACUACGUG